GACGCAGUGGCGAAGUGGCCUAACGCUGCGGUUUGCAAAACCGCCAUUCGCGGGUUCGACUCCCGCCUGCGUCU
rnacentral:tRNA from 1 species